UACGGAGGGUGCAAGCGUUAUCCGGAUUCACUGGGUUUAAAGGGUGCGUAGGAGGGCAGGUAAGUCAGUGGUGAAAUCCUGGGGCUUAACCCCAGAACUGCCAUUGAUACUAUUAGUCUUGAAUUUUGUUGAGGUAGGCGGAAUAAGUCAUGUAGCGGUGAAAUGCAUAGAUAUGACUUAGAACACCAAUUGCGAAGGCAGCUUGCUAAACAAAUAUUGACGCUGAGGCACGAAAGCGUGGGGAUCAAACAGG
rnacentral:rRNA from 1 species